AGUGAACGCUGGCGGUAGGCCUAACACAUGCAAGUCGAACGGCAGCACAGUAAGAGCUUGCUCUUACGGGUGGCGAGUGGCGGACGGGUGAGGAAUACAUCGGAAUCUACUUUUUCGUGGGGGAUAACGUAGGGAAACUUACGCUAAUACCGCAUACGACCUACGGGUGAAAGCAGGGGAUCUUCGGACCUUGCGCGAUUGAAUGAGCCGAUGUCGGAUUAGCUAGUUGGCGGGGUAAAGGCCCACCAAGGCGACGAUCCUUAUCUGGUCUGAGAGGAUGAUCAGCCACACUGGAACUGAGACACGGUCCAGACUCCUACGGGAGGCAGCAGUGGGGAAUAUUGGACAAUGGGCGCAAGCCUGAUCCAGCCAUACCGCGUGGGUGAAGAAGGCCUUCGGGUUGUAAAGCCCUUUUGUUGGGAAAGAAAAGCAGCAGGUUAAUACCCCGCUGUUCUGACGGUACCCAAAGGAUAAGCACCGGCUAACUUCGUG
rnacentral:rRNA from 1 species